CUGAUGUGCUUUCGUGCUCAACUAGCAUGGCUGGCAAAUAGCCAGCCGCAGCAUAUUGCUGACAUCAUCAUCGCCAUCGCCAUCAUCAUCAUCAUCAUCAUCAUCGACAUACGCCCCACAAAACUUGCCGCAAAAUGCGAGCAGCGAAAGCCUUGAACUGAAAAAAAAACACACUCACAUACUCACACACACACAAGCAAUAAACUGCAUAAUGCAUUGAUCAAGCACACUUGGCUAUGAUCUACUAACUGAGCUAAUCGAUCGAAUAUGCUAACUGCCCUUUAUAUAAGCUCCGCUGCUUGCUACUCACAUACAGUUAAUUGUGUGCCAAUUUACAGAUUUCGCCCAGCUCUCAUGUCUUCAGUUUAACCAGUGUUGAAAAAUACAACAAUACAACAAAGAGAAACAAAAUACAUUGUGAAUCUUUGAAAGUUCACAGUGAGUUAACCUUUUUUUAAAUGGGUUUACUACAUUUCAGUUUUCAGUUUCGGCGUUUUUUUUUUCUUUCUUUUCUUGUAAUUUUUUGAUUCUAGCGAAUAUUCAGAGUUGCAUGGGUUAGAGUGAAAUAGCAGCAUGAGAAAUCAAAAGAAA